rnacentral:lncRNA from 1 species
UCCCUUCCCAGCCUGCUUUCUGUGCAAGAUCCUCAAUACUCUGUCCUCACAGCAACGCGUGUGCAGAUUUUAAAUUAUUUUUAAAAAAUUAUUAUUUCUCUUUUAAAGAUGAAGCUCAUGUUGGAGUUCCUGUUGUGGCGCAGUGGAAACCAAUCCGACUAGGAACCAUGAGCAGAUUUUUCCGACUGCCAAAUCGCUGGACCACACAUCCCAUGGGCCUGGGUUUUUAGAACCUCCCGCCCUCGAAAGAGCGGAAAUUUGAAGACGUCCACUGCACCUGUUUAGAGAGAAACCCUCUUUCCCAUCCUAACGUGGAGCAGCCCUCCUCAAACCGUCAUGGUCACCAGCAUUGUUCACAAGGACACCGCUUGCCAAGGUCAUGCCAAGGGAAGGCAAAGCUGGAAGGAUACUGCCAUGCCCACGAAGGAAACCAUCAUCUCCCACACGCCCACGCCGUAUCCAUUCCUGCACUUCCUCCGCUCCAAAUCAAGAGACGCCUUAUCUUCUGCUGUCUUAAAAUUGUUCUCAACUUGAUGUCCACGCGCCUUUGGGAGGCGAAGAGAUGCUGUGCCCCUGACUCCUGGCCGCAGCUGCAGGAAGCUCUCCCACCCCGGAAGGCUCCGGCAUGAAUCAGCACGCUCCUCUCCACAUCCCUCCGCGGAGGCUCGGGCCGGAACACACCAUCAGCACCAGUCGUGCUUUUCACUCUGCCCUUGACAUCCUUGGCCUUCCUUGGCCCCACGCCCUUCUGACUCAGCUCGGCCUCCCACGGAGAUGUCCUCAGGAGAGUCAGCUCUGAGCCUUCUCUUCCUGACCCACCCCAGGCUCCUCUUCUGUCACCGGUUGGACAUCUUGGUCCUGCCUCUAUCACUGGGUUUCAGCCUCACCAACCCUUCCCUCUUUUAAAAAAAUCUAAGAAUGCUUUCUCUGGUUUAAUAACUCUUUUUUUUUUUUUUUCCUCCGUUUUUGGUUGAACCUGAAGUUCCUGGGCCAGGGGUUGAACUCUUGCCACAGCUGUAACCAGAGCCACAACAGUGACAAUGCUGGAUCCCUCACCCGCUGGGCCACGAGAGAACUCCCUCAGUAAUUCAAUCAGGUCUUCUUAAUGUAUCCACAGGGCUUAGUCUUUCACAACCCCUCUCACUCAACUUCCCUUAAAACUGUAACUCUCCCAGGAAUUCCAAUCAUGGUGCAGGAGAAACGAAUCCAACUAGGAACCGUGAGGUUGCGGGUUCGAUCCCUGGCCUCGCUCAGUGGGUUAAGGAUCUGGUGUUGCUGUGAGCUGAGGUGCAGGUUGCAGACGCAGCUCGGAUCCUGCAUUGCGGCGUCUGUGGUAGAGGCCCAUAGCUGCAGCUCUGCUUUGAAUCCUAGCCUGGGAAUCGCCAUAUGCCAUGGGUAUGCCCCCCCCCCCCCGAAAAAAAGAAAGAAAGAAAGAGGCGUUCCCACUGAGGCACAGUGGGUUAAUAAUCUGACUGCGGCAGCUCAGGUCACUGCAGAGCAUUGGGUUCAAUCCCUGGCCUAGGAAUUUCAAUAUGCUGCAGGCGCCGCCAUCAAAAUAAAAAACAUCAAAAAUAAAAAAGAAUGAUAAC